UUUCAAAAGUUCACUUUAGUCCUAGUUUUCACAAAAACUGUUCAAGUUGGUCCUUUUUGGUAACGACGUUAAGUUCACUAACGGCAGAGCUGCCGGGUGUGUAAUGUUUGAUGAUGUGGCAUUGUAAGUUGUUUUAAAAAAUAAUUAAUGAUGACGUGUAAAUGAAUAUAGUUAGGGUAAAAUAAAAAAAUGAAUUAGGGGUAUUAAAAAAAAAUUAUUAGUUGUGAUGUGGAAUUUAAUAAAAUUAGGGUUAAAAUAAAAAUUGAAAUUGGGAUAAUUAAGUAAAGUGAUUUUGGUCAGAUGCAAAUUUGGGUAAAAUCUGCGAUUUUGAUUGAGAUUUUCUGGCAAUUGGGAUUAGGGUUCAUCUUGAUUGGGAUUUUCUGGCAAUUGGGAUUAGGGUUCAUGCUUGUGACCACUGCAGCACAGUGCGAAUCGUUAUUGCGAAAACUUUCGUCUUUGCAAUCCUUUUCCGAAACCAAAAAGCUGCAUGCAUUCAUGCUCAUACUUGGUCUAUUCUCCUGUGCCUUCUACUCGUCCCGAACAUUUCCACACCCAAAUUCAUAGCACUCUCGAACUCCAAAACCUGCAAAACCAACACUAACAAUCGAAACAAUCUACCAAAGCAGAGCAGAGGUGACCUCAACACUCACGCAUGCAGUGUAGCAUACCUUCUCCGCAAUCAAAAAUAAAAAAACUCCAAAACUCCUAACUGUCAACAGAACUUAGCAAUCGAUAAUUCAGUACCUGAAAUCAACAAAACUCAGUGCCGCAACACAAAGUCG
rnacentral:lncRNA from 1 species